ACGUGGGUGAUCCACUCUUUGUGGGGGAUAUCUCUGGGAAACUAGAGUUAAUACCGAUAAGCUCGAGAGAGGAAAGCAAGCAAUUGCGCCAGAGAGAGGAGCCCGCGGCCGAUUUAGCUAGUUGGUGGGGUAAAGGCUCACCAGCAUUAGAUCGGUAGCCGGCCUGAGAGGGCACACGGCCACACUGGCACUGAAACACGGGGCCAAGAACUCCUACGGGAGGCAGCAGUGGGGAAUCUUGCACAAUGGGGGCAACCCUGAUUGCAGCGACGCCGCGUGAGCGAUGAAGCCCUUCGGGGUGUAAAGCUCUUUCGACGGGAACGAUAUUGACGGUACCCGGAGAAGAAGCUGGGGUUAACUACGUGCCAGCAGCCGGGGUAAUUACCGUAAGGCAGCAAGCGUUGUCGGAGUUACUG
rnacentral:rRNA from 1 species